GCCAUUACUAUUAACAGCGGUUAGUUUUGUAGCCGCUGUAAAGACGGAAACACGAAGCGGAUUAUAGGCUUUUACAGCGGUCGAUAUAUGAACCGCUAUAAAAGCCAUUACUAUUAACAGCGGUUAUGUUUUGUUCCACUAUUUACAGCGUUUAUGAUCAAACCGCUGUAAAGAUUUAGUGAAAAAUUAAUUCUAGAUUUAGUAAUUGUUCCACAUGAGAUUCGAACCCAGGUACCUUAAGCUAUUUCAAAAUUACUUUCCACUAGGCUCAGGUUAGAUUUAUGUUUUGUCUUCGAUUUAUUGCUAUUUACUUUCCACUAGAACCACUCACUUAACCCAAAUCUCGUAAAACCCUUAUUUUUUUCCACUACCACUCUCGAUCUGCUACCUCAAUCUCUCAACCGCUGUGCUCCUUCUCCCAACCGCUGCAACCCAUCGUGC
rnacentral:lncRNA from 1 species